rnacentral:rRNA from 1 species
GCAUAUCAAUAAGCGGAGGAAAAGAAACUAACAAGGAUUCCCCUAGUAACUGCGAGUGAAGCGGGAUGAGCUCAAAUUUAAAAUCUGGCGUCUUCGGCGUCCGAGUUGUAAUUUAGAGAAGCGUUUUCCGCGCCGGACCGUGUACAAGUCUCCUGGAACGGAGCGUCAUAGAGGGUGAGAAUCCCGUCUUUGACACGGACCCCCGGUGCUCUGUGAUACGCUCUCGAAGAGUCGAGUUGUUUGGGAAUGCAGCUCAAAAUGGGUGGUGAACUCCAUCUAAAGCUAAAUAUUGGCGAGAGACCGAUAGCGAACAAGUACCGUGAGGGAAAGAUGAAAAGCACUUUGGAAAGAGAGUGAAACAGUACGUGAAAUUGUUGAAAGGGAAACGCUUGAAGUCAGUCGCGUCCGCCAGGAUUCAGCCUCACGGUGUACUUUCUGGUGGACGGGCCAGCAUCACUUUCAAUCAUCGGACAAGGUCGAGAGGAAUGUGGCACCUUCGGGUGUGUUAUAGCCUCUUGUCGUAUACGGUGACUGGGAGUGAGGACCGCCUUUGUAGGAUGCUGGCGUAAUGGCUUUAAACGACCCGUCUUGAAACACGGACCAAGGAGUCUAACAUGCCCGCGAGUGUUUGGGUGGAAAACCCAUGCGCGUAAUGAAAGUGAAAGUUGGGAAGGCUGUCGCGGCCUGCACCGACGCCCGGACUCGAGAUUUAUCUAAGGUUCUGCGGUAGAGCGUGUAUGUUGGGACCCGAAAGAUGGUGAACUAUGCCUGAAUAGGGUGAAGCCAGAGGAAACUCUGGUGGAGGCUCGUAGCGAUUCUGACGUGCAAAUCGAUCGUCAAAUUUGGGUAUAGGGGCGAAAGACUAAUCGAACCAUCUAGUAGCUGGGUUCCUGCCGAAG